AAAAUAGUUCUCAGAUUUCAUAAAAAUUUUACCUAAAAUUUGAAUGAUAAUCAACUCUAAAAAUAUGGGGAAAAUUUUUCCUUGCUUUAAUGACGUGGGUGAAGGACUUCCUAAGUGGUCUUAAUGGGGGCCUUGGCAUUUAAUUCUUGCUGCUGUUAAAAAAGACAUUUUCAACAGUCUGUACAAAGUCUGUAGAUUUUCAGAAAACUCAAAUUGAUUUAAGUGGUAUUUGUCUCUUUGAAAUGUCUACUUCUCCUGUGCCUAGCUGUUUUUCCUCUGUUCUUGAUUUCCCUUUUUGUUUUUGGCCAAGAAAUCUCUUUUUUCUAUGUGUUUUCCACUUCCUGUUGCUGUGCUAAGAUUUGCUUCUUACCAAAAAUGAAUGAACUGUUACAAUUAUUUGUUUCUGUUUGGCCACAUUAGUUGAAUAAGAAAAGCAGGGGGCUAUCUGGUCAAGAAU
rnacentral:misc_RNA from 1 species